GAUGAACGCUGGCGGCGUGCCUAAUACAUGCAAGUCGAGCGAACGGACGAGAAGCUUGCUUCUCUGAUGUUAGCGGCGGACGGGUGAGUAACACGUGGAUAACCUACCUAUAAGACUGGGAUAACUUCGGGAAACCGGAGCUAAUACCGGAUAAUAUUUUGAACAGCAUGGUUCAAAAGUGAAAGACGGUCUUGCUGUCACUUAUAGAUGGAUCCGCGCUUGAUUAGCUAGUUGGUAAGGUAACGGCUUACCAAGGCAACGAUGCAUAGCCGACCUGAGAGGGUGAUCGGCCACACUGGAACUGAGACACGGUCCAGACUCCUACGGGAGGCAGCAGUAGGGAAUCUUCCGCAAUGGGCGAAAGCCUGACGGAGCAACGCCGCGUGAGUGAUGAAGGUCUUCGGAUCGUAAAACUCUGUUAUUAGGGAAGAACAUAUGUGUAAGUAACUGUGCACAUCUUGACGGUACCUAAUCAGAAAGCCACGGCUAACUACGUG
rnacentral:rRNA from 1 species